rnacentral:rRNA from 1 species
UACAGAGGUCUCAAGCGUUGUUCGGAUUCAUUGGGCGUAAAGGGUGCGUAGGCGGCGCGGUAAGUCGGGUGUGAAAUCUCGGGGCUUAACUCCGAAACUGCAUUCGAUACUGCCGUGCUUGAGGACUGGAGAGGAGACUGGAAUUUACGGUGUAGCGGUGAAAUGCGUAGAUAUCGUAAGGAAGACCAGUGGCGAAGGCGGGUCUCUGGACAGUUCCUGACGCUGAGGCACGAAGGCCCAGGGGGAGCAAACGGGGAU